rnacentral:rRNA from 1 species
UACGUAGGGUGCGAGCGUUAAUCGGAAUUACUGGGCGUAAAGCGUGCGCAGGCGGUUAUGUAAGACAGAUGUGAAAUGCCCGGGCUUUAACCUGGGAACUGCAUUUGUGACUGCAUGGCUAGAAUUUGGCAGAGGGGGUAGAAUUCCACGUGUAGCAGUGAAAUGCGUAGAUAUGUGGAGGAAUACCGAUGGCGAAGGCAGCCCCUGGGCUAAGAUUGACGCUCAUGCACGAAAAGCGUGGGGAGCAAACAGG